rnacentral:rRNA from 1 species
CUUGGUCAUUUAGAGGAAGUAAAAGUCGUAACAAGGUCUCCGUUGGUGAACCAGCGGAGGGAUCAUUAAAGAGUUGCAAAACUCCCAAACCAUUGUGAACAUACCUUCAACGUUGCUUCGGCGGGUUGGCCCCGGUCUCCGGGGUCCCCGGCCCUACUCGGGCGCCCGCCGGAGGUAUCUAACUCUUGAACUUUUAUGGCCUCUCUGAGUCUUUGUACUUAAUAAGUCAAAACUUUCAACAACGGAUCUCUUGGUUCUGGCAUCGAUGAAGAACGCAGCGAAAUGCGAUAAGUAAUGUGAAUUCCAGAAUUCAGUGAAUCAUCGAAUCUUUGAACGCACAUUGCGCCCGCCAGUAUUCUGGCGGGCAUGCCUGUUCGAGCGUCAUUUCAACCAUCAAGCCCCCGGCUUGUGUUGGGGACCUGCGGCUGCCGCAGGCCCUGAAAUGCAGUGGCGGGCUCGCUGUCACUCCGAGCGUAGUAGUUACAUCUCGCUCUGGGCGUGCUGCGGGUUCCGGCCGUUAAAAGCCUUAUUUACCCAAGGUUGACCUCGGAUCAGGUAGGAGACCCGCUGAACUUAAGCAUAUCAAUAAGCGGAGGA